rnacentral:rRNA from 1 species
UGGGGAAUUUUGGACAAUGGGCGAAAGCCUGAUCCAGCAAUGCCGCGUGUGUGAAGAAGGCCUUCGGGUUGUAAAGCACUUUUGUCCGGAAAGAAAUCCUUGGCUCUAAUACAGUCGGGGGAUGACGGUACCGGAAGAAUAAGCACCGGCUAACUACGUGCCAGCAGCCGCGGUAAUACGUAGGGUGCAAGCGUUAAUCGGAGUUACUGGGCGUAAAGCGUGCGCAGGCGGUUUGCUAAGACCGAUGUGAAAUCCCCGGGCUCAACCUGGGAACUGCAUUGGUGACUGGCAGGCUAGAGUAUGGCAGAGGGGGGUAGAAUUCCACGUGUAGCAGUGAAAUGCGUAGAGAUGUGGAGGAAUACCGAUGGCGAAGGCAGCCCCCUGGGCCAAUACUGACGCUCAUGCACGAAAGCGUGGGGAGCAAACAGGAUUAGAUACCCUGGUAGUCCACGCCCUAAACGAUGUCAACUAGUUGUUGGGGAUUCAUUUCCUUAGUAACGUAGCUAACGCGUGAAGUUGACCGCCUGGGGAGUACGGUCGCAAGAUU